AGAAUUACAACUUUAAACAGAAAUGGUUUGGGGUUCACUGGCACUUUAAUUUAAAAGUACGAGCGGCGACGGUUUAGGCAGAGAGCGGGAGGGGGCUGGCUCUAAACCCGAACUGUAGUAGCAUGUGCGGGCGGUAGUCUGCACUACUGUACACGGUGGUGGUACUUGCGGGUUUAGCGCCACAAAGCUGUCAGUCUCGGCAGCCCUGUGAGAAGAAGGCGGGGUGCUCGUUUUGAACCAACCUCGUGAAUCACAACACCGGACCGCGGACAGCCAGCCAGACGCACAGACAUUCAGGUUGUAGAGUAGCUGAGAGAGGCUUUUCUUCUGGGGGAACUACUGAAGGAAUGUGCGUCGCAUCGGCACAACGUUGUUGCGUGAGGAACUGAGGUAGACGGGUCGGUUUCCAGACGUCAGAGUCUCUCGAAGUUAAGCGCUCAAUGACCGGACGUAGAUGAUUAAUUAUUGUAUAUAACUCCGCGUAGUUGUGGUGGAGUGACAGCCGAGGGAACAGGGUGCAGGCUGCAUGAAUGAAACGCCGCCGCCGCACGAGCAGCUCGCUUAAGGGUAUAAUAUCGCAUUUUUCUAGGAAUUGAAAGGGAACUACAUCUUCUACAUCUUCAGCAUCUGUGAGGAACAUCGUGGUGCCAGACUUUCGUCCUCUGGAUCUGAGCAUCAGUUUCUGUAGCAGCCACGCUGGAGGGAAUUACUCAGAAACCCAGCUGGAAAUAAGAGAAGGCUGUUUCCAUCGACGGCGCUGGUGUGAUUGGCAAGCUGAACACUGAACGCUGAGGCAGGGUCACAGUCCAAUCUGGUGGAACGCAGCGGGGCCUCACGUUGAGUGGCUCCGCCGCGGCCCAGGGUCACUUACGUCACCUGAUUACAGGGAGGCCAAGGCCAACUGCACCACUGAGCAGCCACGCCGGCUCCAUGGAGCAUCGUCUCAGGCCAGAGUCCCUCAGGCCGUCCGCCGCACCUACCGCCUGCACCAGUGGCCCCUUAACCCAUUUACCUGCUGGGAAAAGAAAGGCCUUGAAGCCAUGGAACGGCUCGCCCAUAAAACCACCGAAUGACUUUGAAACAAACCGCCACACAUUCCAGUCCACAGUUUUAAUUGGAUUUUUUUCCCCUCAGAAACAAGGAGGUAAUUUAUGACUCCUCGGGAAAAAGAAUCGUACAUUUCUGUAUUCUAACGGGAAUGCUAUGAUAAUGUUCCCAUCGAAAUCACCCUGGUAAUUAAACUGCCUGGAAUUCUUCGUUUCAUUUAGUAGAUGAAGCGAAAGAAAUGCAGCCUCUCAUGGCUUCACAUGAAAUUGUCGUUUUUUAAUUCCACAAGAGUGGUUUCAGUGGUGUUUUGCAAUUACAUCGGCAUUACGUG
ensembl:lncRNA